rnacentral:siRNA from 1 species
AGAGCGGGUCGCCGCGUGCCGGCCG